CUAAGAUUCUGUCAGAGUUCCACUUACACGGUUACAGCUCAUUAGAUUGGGUGACUUCAGCAAUCAAGUACGAAACUAAAAAGUAAAACGUGUUCUGAACCCUAGCAGCCGCCUCUGAAUCAGGAUCGAUGACUCGUUUCUUCAGAUUGCCGCCGGAGGUGAUGUUUCUAUUUAGUAUUCUUGAGUGGAUCUGUUAAGCAACAUAACUCAACUUUAGUUACCACCAUUAUGCUCCCAAGAAAUGGCAAACUAGCAGGUCCACUUGCUGAUUAUUGUUAUAAGAAUAUCAAGAUGAAGUUAGCUAUUAUGUUCCCAUUUGGAUGCAAAUCAAAGAACACUUAUUGGAGCUUAUUUAGUGCAUUUUAUAUUAGAUAAGCUCCAAUAAGCCCAUAUCCAAACGCGCUCUAAGUCUGUCAUCCUUGAUAUAACGUGAAAAACCAGAUGAAAUUUGAUGGAGAAUGUUCUCAAGGUCUUAAAGUAUGAACUAUGAUUUAUGAAUGAUGGCACUGAACUCCUGAAUCCGUCUUCUGAAAAGUGGAGAAAGCCAAAAGAAUAAGGCGGAUUAUGGAAGAUAGAGGGCCUGAAGAUAGUUGGGUAUAUUUCAACAUCUUUAGUUACUAUGUUGUGGAUUUAAGUAUAAUUGAAGGAUGAAGAUGUAUCAAAUAGUCAAAUUAAUGUUUAAUUACUUUUUUUGGCGCCUUAUUGUUGCCGAGUUAUUUGUCAAUGUUCAUUUUUUGCCAACUGCGUUGUUUUACUUGGCAAUCAUUUUUUAUCUUUGCUUAGUGGUAAUUAUUAUUUGCUUUUUUUUUUGCACUUGUCGUCAAAGACAUCUCCUGCCCGGGAAUCCUCAAAAUAUGUUCAUCCAAACGUUGCUGCUAAAAUGCAAAUGCUUGACUUGCCCUGUUGAGGUUCUUUUAUAGUUGCUUUGUCUGCAGAACUUUGAAGCAGGAACUAAAGAACCAGCAGAGGGAAGUGGAUAGGAAGCGCAAGGAAGAGAAGGCUGAAAAGGGAGCUAGUUGGAAUCAAACAAGAAAGUGAUGUAAGACCCAGGCUGCUAUAUUCCUAUCAUCUGCUAGAGUCUUGGAGACUGUAAAUGACGAGUUCCAGGUCCAGGAGUGAGGGAGGGAAUCUUUACUGCUCAGGUUGGCUACAAUAUGCACGCUACAAUAUGCUCUCCCAUGUCAUGAUCAGUUGCAUCUGUGUUGAGCACGGAGGCACUCCUAUGUUCAUCGUUCAGGAUUGAAAG